UGGGGAAUUUUGCGCAAUGGGGGAAACCCUGACGCAGCAACGCCGCGUGGGUGAUGAAGGCCUUCGGGUCGUAAAGCCCUGUCGGGAGGGAAGAAAUGAUUGAGAGCUAAUACCUCUUGGUCUUGACGGUACCUCCGAAGGAAGCACCGGCUAACUCCGUGCCAGCAGCCGCGGUAAUACGGAGGGUGCAAGCGUUGUUCGGAAUUAUUGGGCGUAAAGCGCGUGUAGGCGGUCUUUUAAGUCUGAUGUGAAAGCCCCGGGCUCAACCUGGGAAGUGCAUUGGAAACUGGGAGACUUGAGUACGGGAGAGGAGAGUGGAAUUCCUAGUGUAGGAGUGAAUUCCGUAGAUAUUAGGGGGAACACCGGUGGAGAAGGCGGCUCUCUGGGCCGAUGCUGGCGCUGAGACGCGAAAGCGUGGGUAGCAAACA
rnacentral:rRNA from 1 species